GAAGUUGAUCUGCGGUCGGUCCCUGGGCGCCAUCUGGCGGCCCCCCUGGAACUGCAAGGAAACUCCGUGCGCUCCCCUCCGGCUCUCUAAUUGGCAAAUUCAGGCUGACCUGAAUUCGGGAGCUCUGCGAGGGGCAGCUGUAUCAGAUAUCUCCCUUGGAGCAAUUAUGGGAAAGGACAAUGACCCAAGCCCCUGGAACACCUCUGGUGACAAGUGCACUGCUACGGCACAGGUAUGGCAGCAGCAGUGAAGGGAUCCUGAACCAGGCACCAGCUGGGCCAGCUACUGGCAACCAGAUGCCCAGGAGAAUUCCCAACACUGCAAAGCUACAAACACAUGCAACUCUACAAAGCCAAGCUGUGUUACUAGGGAAGGUUCAGAACUCUCUCCAGCCCCAGCCCACAAGCCCAACAGAUGACAACACACACUCUGCCUGAGGAACAGGUAUGUAUUAAGGACUUCUGGUAUUUUAUAUUGACUCACAGCUUUUAAUCAUUUUCUUUAGAAAAAGCUUUCAUUUUAGGCAUUUGAGCUGCUUGUUUGGAAACAAAGAAGCUUCCUAAGCCCC